GCCGGGGUGGCGGAAUUGGUAGACGCAGCGGACUCAAAAUCCGCCGCUGGCGACAGCGUGAGGGUUCGAGUCCCUCUCCCGGCACCA
rnacentral:tRNA from 1 species